GCUGAAUGUGGGGAUAAUUUAUCUCCGUGUUGUAGCUAACGCGUUAAGCACUCCGCCUGGGGACUACGGUCGCAAGACUAAAACUCAAAGGAAUUGACGGGGACCCGCACAAGCGGUGGAGCAUGUGGUUUAAUUCGAUGCAACGCGAAAAACCUUACCACUCCUUGACAUGGAGAUUAGAUCCUUCUUAACAGAAGGGCGCAGUUCGGCUGGAUCUCGCACAGGUGCUGCAUGGCUGUCGUCAGCUCGUGUCGUGAGAUGUUGGGUUAAGUCCCGCAACGAGCGUAACCCUCAUCCUUAGUUGCCAGCGGGUAAUGCCGGGCACUUUAAGGAAACUGCCGGUGGUAAACUGGAGGAAGGUGGGGGAUGAUGUCAAGUCAGCACGGCCCUUAUGGGGUGGGCUACACACGUGCUACAAUGGUGACUACAAUAGGUUGCAAUGUCGCAAGGCUGAGCUAAUCCGUAAAAGUCAUCUCAGUUCGGAUUGUCCUCUGCAACUCGAGGGCAUGAAGUCGGAAUCGCUAGUAAUCGUGGAUCAGCAUGCCACGGUGAAUACGUUCUCGGGUCUUGUACACACUGCCCGUCACGCCAUGGGAAUUGGCUUAACUCGAAGCUGGUGCGCUAACCGAAAGGAAGCAGCCAU
rnacentral:rRNA from 1 species